UCCACAGAACAGAGCCACACUUUUCUGCUCAAUUUCUUCCUGUCAUUCUCUCUCAAUCUUUCGCAGAGUCCUAAUUUCUCCACGACACCACUCCUCGUGCACUCGCGCAUCGGCGUAGCCCUCUCCGGUGGAUUUCUUCUUCUUUGCGCUACUUUUGCAUACUGGUUCUCUUUCCAAUCUGAACUUAUUUCAUAGGUGCAGAACACCAUGGCCGUACCGGCUGCUCUGAUCCCCCCAUCGUCUCUGGUCCAGCCGUGUCCGAUCUCAACUUCAUCGUCAGCAUCAUCAGCAUCAUCAUCAUCAUUCUCCGUGAACGCCGCACCAUCAUCCUCGCCCACGGCCACUUCUGCGUCUCCCUCUCAGUCAGCGACCCAGAAUCUGUUCAGAUCGGAUCUGAUCAGCGCCAACUCCAGCAUCCCUCUACCCGGCAAGCCCGUGUACUCGACCCCAUCUCCUGUUGAAAACACCCCGCAGAAUAAUGAGUGCAGGAUGGUGGAGCUUAGGGGUGCCAAGGUGGCCUCUUUCACAGUGGAUGGACAGGAGCUCAUCUGUCUUCCCCAGGCGUUUGACCUGUUCCUCAAACACCUGGUUGGAGGACUGCACACCGUCUACACCAAACUCAAGCGGCUGGAGAUCACGCCCGUGGUGUGCAACGUGGAGCAGGUCCGCAUCCUGCGGGGACUGGGGGCCAUCCAGCCCGGGGUCAACCGCUGCAAACUCAUCUCCAGGAAAGACUUCGAAGUCCUCUACAAUGACUGCACCAAUGCCAGCUCAAGACCCGGGAGGCCUCCAAAACGGACCCAGAGUGUGACAUCGCCGGAGAACCCGCACAUCAUGCCACACUCGGUGCCGGGGCUCAUGUCUCCAGGAAUCAUUCCCCCCACAGGUCUGACAGCCGCCGCUGCAGCAGCUGCAGCUGCCACCAAUGCCGCCAUCGCCGAGGCCAUGAAGGUGAAGAAAAUCAAACUCGAGGUGAUGAGCAGCUACCACAGCAACCACACUCACCAUGGUGCAGACUCAGAGAAUGGAGAUCUCAGUUCCAGUGUGGGCUUGGAACUGCCAUUUAUGAUGAUGCCCCACCCCCUGAUCCCUGUCAGCCUGCCUCCUGCAUCCGUCACCAUGGCGAUGAGUCAGAUGAACCACCUCAGCACCAUCGCCAAUAUGGCUGCCGCAGCACAGGGACAGAGUGCCCCAUCCAGAAUGGUGACAUCAGUGAUUAAGGAGCGUGUCCCCGACAGUCCCUCCCCUGCCCCCUCUCUGGAAGAUGGCAGGAGGCCGGGGAGCCGACCCUCAUCCCAGCGCAGCAGCAGCGUCUCCAGCUCUCCCGCGCACACCGAGAGCUCUUCCGACAGAAUGCCUGUGCACCAGAACGGACUGUCUAGGAACCAGGCAUUACUGGGCCUGUCUCCCAGCAUCUUACCCGGACCUAAGGAGGGCGACCUGGCAACUCACGACAUUUGCCAUGAGGCCAAGAGAAUGCACCUGGAGAAAGAAGAAAAUCCCCUGUGCACGCCAACAGCGAGAGACAGCUAUGAGAGACUGUCACUGGCAAGUCAUGGUUUACCUCCAGGAUUCCCCUCACCUUUCCUCUUCCCUGAUGGACUGUCAUCUAUAGAGACACUCCUUACUAACAUUCAGGGUUUGCUGAAGGUGGCAAUUGAUAACGCCCGCGCUCAGGAGAAACAAGUGCAGUUGGAGAAGACGGAGCUGAAGAUGGAACUGUUUAGAGAGAGAGAGCUUAGAGAGACCCUGGAGAAACAACUGGCUGUUGAGCAGAAGAAUAGAGCUAUCAUUCAGAAGCGUUUGAAGAAAGAGAAGAAAGCGAAGAGGAAAUUGCAAGAAGCACUGGAGUACGAGUCAAAGCGACGUGAGCAGGCGGAGCAGUCCCUGAAACAAACGUCACCCACAGAAAAUCUCAGAUCACUCAAUGAUCUGCUUCUCGGUCAGAACCCGGCAGCAUCAAAUCUGUAUCAAAGCAUCAUAUCUAGCAAUAAUUCAAUGAAGACUUGGAAACAACUGAGUAAUACUCGUUGACCCAGGAGAUAGAGACUGACCGCAGUGGUGGCAGAACAGAUGCUGAGAGGACAAUACAAGCAGAUGGAAGACUUUUUCUGAAAACCACAGUGAUGUACUGAUUGCAUGCCGUUGAAGACUGGUGUCAUAUGAAGAUUUUCCCAAGUCCCCUUGCAGGGUAAUUUAGUUACAGCAACAGGUCAAUCGCUCGUAGAGGUGCAUCAAGGGUGUGUUCUUGGCCCGAUGUGGAAGACAGAUUGUUUCAGAAUGUAGUAUUAGGACUCUUAUCUCACAGAAAUUAAUGUUAUAAUAUGCCAGUUGUGGGAUUUGGAUAUCAUGAGUUUUCUGUUGUGAAGGUGACAAUUUGAGCACAGUAAAAUGUACCAUUUGGUACACAUGGUGAUAAUAUUUACAACAAACUCACAGCACUGAAGAAUUUUUAUACUGUAUUUAAACCAGCGAGAAAGCUUCGAAGAUAAAAUCUGAUACAGAGGUUUUGUUUUGUAUUAAAAAAAGAAAAAACAUAAGUCCUUAAUGUCAUAACUAUUUGCCAAGAUGUUAAAAAUCCAAGCUUGGAGAAGAGCCUCUGAAAUUUUUAAUUUGAAUAUAUGUUGAUGAACAAAAAUGACUAAUAUUUGCUUUUAAUGUUUUCUAAACUAGAAAAACAAUCAAGUUUCAUUUCUAUCAUUAUUGUAUAUACAAGAACAGAAACUAUAGGUUAAUUCACUCAAUUUGGUAUUUGUAUAUAAUGUUAAAAGUUGGUAUUGUGUAUGCAGUAGAUCUAUUAGGAGAACAAUACCAAUGUUUAUAUUGAAUUUAUACAUUUGUUUUGUUUCUGAGCCAUCAUUCUUUCAAUUCGCUGCCACUAUGGUGAGGAAGCAUGUAGGCAUGUAAAUGUGUUGUCCUGAUUUUAUGUUAUUCAAUAAAUACUUAACUGUGCUGAACAAUUACGUACUUAGGGUUUAUUCACUUAUACCCAGAAAAUGUUGAUGAACAGUAUCAUUUUAACUGCUAGAUUUUCAGUUUGCAGUGAGAUGAAUCUUAACUAUGUAUGCAUUUAUUUAAGCUGCAGUUUAUGAAGAAGUUGUAUAGAUCUUUAUGUAUAAUCUGGUGUAUCCCCCUUUAAACGACAAGUGCUCAUUGUGUAAAAAUAUAUUUUCACAGCAGUGCAACAUACUACCUUCUUUAAGUAAUGGGGAAAAAAGGAAUAGCUUGAGUUAAAAAGGUAAAGUGCAUUUUUUCAUUUAAUAGUAUAAGAUAUUGAUUUGUUUUAAUCACUUGCUGAAUUGUAGUAAUCCUAGUUUAAAAUUGUUAUUUCCAACAAGAUUAGAUACUUAUAUAUAUAUAUAUAUAUAUACUUAUUAUAUAUUUCACUAGAUAUUUCAGUCUAGACUUGUUAGCAACACAUC